rnacentral:lncRNA from 1 species
UUUGGGUAAAAAUUGCCAUUUUUGGAAUCAUUGGGGGCGAAUUUGGGUCAAAAAAUGCCAUUUUGGGGUCAUGGGGGCCAUUUUGGGGUGGAAAAUGCCAUUUUUGGGGUCAUGGGGAGCCAUUUUGGGGUGGAAAAUGGCAUUUUGGGAUCAUUGGGGGCCGUUUUGGGGUGGAAAAUGCCGUUUGGGGGUCAUUGGGCACCAUUUUAGGUUGAAAAAUGCCAUUUUGGGGUCAUUGGGAGCCACUUUGGGUCAAAAAAUCCCAUUUUGGUGCCAUUUUGGGAGCAUUUGGAGUCAAUGGGUGCCACUUUGGGUCAAAAAAUGCCAUUUUGGGGUCAUUGGGAGCCAUUUUGGGGUCAUUUGGGGAGCAUUUGGGGUCAUUGAGGUCGAUUUUGGGUCGAAAAAUCCCAUUUUGGGGUCAUUGGGGGCCAUUUUGGGUCAGAAAAUGCCAUUUUGGGGUCAUUGGGCGCCAUUUUGGGGUGAAAAAUGCCAUUUUGGUGUCAUUGGGUGCCACUUUGGGUCAAAAAAUCCCAUUUUGGGGUCAUUGGGAGCCAUUUUGGUGUGAAUAAAUGCCAUUUUGGGGUCAUGGGGGGCCAUUUUGGGGUCAAAAAAUGCCAUUUUGGUGUCAUUGGUUGCCACUUUGGGUCAAAAAUCCCAUUUUGGGGUCAUUGGGUGCCACUUUGGGUCAAAAAAUGCCAUUUUGGGGUCAUUGGGAGCCAUUUUAGGUUGAAAAAUGCCAUUUUGGGGUCAGUGGGCGCCAUUUUGUGUCAGAAAUCCCCCUUUUGGGGUCAUCGGGUGCCAUUUUGGGAUGAAAAACGCCAUUUUGGGGCCACUGGUUGCCACUGUGGGUCAGGAAAUGCCCCUCGGGGGCCACAUUGCCCCGAUUUUGGGGUAAAAAAGGCCGAUUUUGGUGCAUUCUGCCCUCAGAGCUCCGGUGCCCACAGAGUUUGACUUCGAGGACGAACCCACGGCGCCUCGCAGCGCCCUGAUGGAGCGCCGCCGCACCCCAGGUCCCACAGAUUUGGGUCAAAUUCCCCCGGAUUUGGGUUUCUCUCUUGUUUGGGGUCGUUUCUGCCCUUUUUGGGGUCGUUUCUGCCUCUUUUUGGGGCCGUUUCUGCCUCUUUUUGGGGUCGUUUCUGCCCUUUUUGGGGCCGUUUCUGCCUCUUUUUGGGGUCGUUUCUGCCUCUUUUUGGGGUCGUUUCUGCCUCUUUUGGGGCCAGUUUUGGGCCAAAUUCCCCCCAAUUUGGGUUUCUCUCUUUUUUGAGGGCUGUCUCUGCCUCUUUU